UAUAAUCGUAAUAAUCCCCUUGUGUAUGCACCUCCAGAAAUUCCCAGCACGGGCUAAGUGGGCACACCCAUUCAUUUAUGGAGACAGCAGACUGGAACAGGAGCAAGGACCCCACCAGCAAGCCCCAGGAAGUGCGGGCUGUGGACAGGAUUUCAAUGCAGAACCGCAGGCUGAACCGAGAGCUGAGGACGGCACUGCGUUCGCGCCUCCAGUGAAAAGAUGGGGCAUCAGCAGGAAUAGUGAGUCUCCUGAGGUCGAGCUCUGAAGUCUGCGCUCUUCCCCCAACCACAAGACACAGCGAAAGAGGGACACAAGCAAGGGGAGUGGGAGAGGAAGAAGCAGACUCCCCACCAAGCAGGGAACCCGACACAGGACUCGAUCCCAGGACCCCAGGACCACGACCCAAGCCGAAGGCAGACACCCAGUGACUGAGUCACCCAGGGGCCUCCUUGCCCUGUGUUUCUGAAUCCUUUUUGAAUGAGGAAUAAAUAGAGACAGUGAAUAGCACCUCCUUCACUUGAAUCUUUGGAAUUGAUGCCACAUUUAAGUUCUCCUAUUUCAAGCCACCCGUGGCCCCACUCACUUCAAA